rnacentral:rRNA from 1 species
GACGAACGCUGGCGGCGUGCUUAACACAUGCAAGUCGAACGGAAAGGCCCUGCUUUUGUGGGGUGCUCGAGUGGCGAACGGGUGAGUAACACGUGAGUAACCUGCCCUUGACUUUGGGAUAACUUCAGGAAACUGGGGCUAAUACCGGAUAGGAGCUCCUGCUGCAUGGUGGGGGUUGGAAAGUUUCGGCGGUUGGGGAUGGACUCGCGGCUUAUCAGCUUGUUGGUGGGGUAGUGGCUUACCAAGGCUUUGACGGGUAGCCGGCCUGGGAGGGGGACCGGCCACCUUGGGCCUGCGAUACGGCCCAGACUCCUACGGGACGCAGCAGUGGGGAAUAUUGCACAAUGGGCGGAAGCCUGAUGCAGCAACGCCGCGUGCGUGAUGACGGCCUUCGGGUUGUAAACCGCUUUCGCCUGUGACGAAGCGUGAGUGACGGUAAUGGGUAAAGAAGCACCGGCUAACUACGUG